rnacentral:rRNA from 1 species
UACAGAGGGUGCGAGCGUUGUUCGGAAUUAUUGGGCGUAAAGGGCGCGUAGGCGGUGCGGCAAGUCACCUGUGAAACCUCUGGGCUUAACCCAGAGCCUGCAGGCGAAACUGCCGUGCUGGAGUGUGGGAGAGGUGCGUGGAAUUCCUGGUGUAGCGGUGAAAUGCGCAGAUAUCAGGAGGAACACCGAUGGCGAAGGCAGGUCUCUGGGCCACUACUGACGCUGAGAAGCGAAAGCAUGGGAGCGAACGG